CCCCCCCCGCCAAUGGGCAGAAGGACUGCCCUCGUGAAAAGCUGAAAUCCGGGCAGAAUAUGGGGGGGGGGGGUACGAUGUGUGAAUAAUGAUACCGAUCCCUCCUGUUUACCAAUAAAAGUUGUAGUCUUCCCUAUCUAGAAUCCUAACUCCAGUAAAAAAUGUCUAUGGUGGUUGAAAGCACAUUUGAACUUGAAUUUGCGCGCAUAGUAUAGCAGUCAUGACCGACUUCUACAAAAACGAAGACAUCGUGCUAUUUUGCUGUUAUAUUUGCUUGUACA